AUUUCCAAGGUACCAUCUCACUAACAUUAUUAUACACGAAUGGCACAAAAUACACGGUAAGAAUCGAUAACACACUGGGUGAAGAAUUCCAAGUAGUGACAGGCCUAAAACAGGGUGACGCCUUGUCGUAUUUAUUGUUUAAUAUCACACUAGUGAAAGCUGUACCUAACCAAAGUGUAUAGAUGUAUGAUAAUAAUAAGAUUAACCCUAACUUAUGGG